rnacentral:rRNA from 1 species
GACUGCCGGUGACAAACCGGAGGAAGGUGGGGAUGACGUCAAAUCAUCAUGCCCCUUAUGACCUGGGCUACACACGUGCUACAAUGGACGGUACAAAGAGCUGCAAGACCGCGAGGUGGAGCUAAUCUCAUAAAACCGUUCUCAGUUCGGAUUGUAGGCUGCAACUCGCCUACAUGAAGCUGGAAUCGCUAGUAAUCGCGGAUCAGCAUGCCGCGGUGAAUACGUUCCCGGGCCUUGUACACACCGCCCGUCACACCACGAGAGUUUGUAACACCCGAAGUCGGUGGGGUAACCUUUAUGGAGCCAGCCGCCUAAGGUGGGACAGAUGAUUGGGGUGAAGUCGUAACAAGGUAGCCGUAUCGGAAGGUGCGGCUGGAUCACCUCCUUU